CAGGCCUAACACAUGCAAGUCGAACGAAGGCUUCGGCCUUAGUGGCGCACGGGUGCGUAACGCGUGGGAAUCUGCCCUUUGGUACGGAAUAACUCAGGGAAACUUGAGCUAAUACCGUAUGAUGUCGAGAGACCAAAGAUUUAUCGCCAGGGGAUGAGCCCGCGUCCGAUUAGCUUGUUGGUGGGGUAAUGGCCUACCAAGGCGACGAUCGGUAGCUGGUCUGAGAGGAUGAUCAGCCACACUGGGACUGAGACACGGCCCAGACUCCUACGGGAGGCAGCAGUGGGGAAUAUUGGACAAUGGGCGAAAGCCUGAUCCAGCAAUGCCGCGUGAGUGAUGAAGGCCUUAGGGUUGUAAAGCUCUUUUACCCCGGGAAGAUAAUGACUGUACCGGGAGAAUAAGCCCCGGCUAACUCCGUGCCAGCAGCCGCGGUAAU
rnacentral:rRNA from 1 species